rnacentral:rRNA from 1 species
UGAGGAAUAUUGGUCAAUGGGCGAGAGCCUGAACCAGCCAAGUAGCGUGAAGGAUGACUGCCCUAUGGGUUGUAAACUUCUUUUAUAAAGGAAUAAAGUCGGGUAUGCAUACCCGUUUGCAUGUACUUUAUUAAUAAGGAUCGGCUAACUCCGUGCCAGCAGCCGCGGUAAUACGGAGGAUCCGAGCGUUAUCCGGAUUUAUUGGGUUUAAAGGGAGCGUAGAUGGAUGUUUAAGUCAGUGGUGAAAGUUUGCGGCUCAACCGUAAAAUUGCAGUUGAUACUGGAUAUCUUGAGUGCAGUUGAGGCAGGCGGAAUUCGUGGUGUAGCGGUGAAAUGCUUAGAUAUCACGAAGAACUCCGAUUGCGAAGGCAGCCUGCUAAGCUGCAACUGACAUUGAGGCUCGAAAGGGUGGGUAUCAAACA